rnacentral:pre_miRNA from 1 species
AGAGUAAUAGCUGGGUCAAAUGGUGGUUCCAUUCCCGGUUUUCCAAGAAAUCGUCAUACUGCUUUCCAAAUUGUCUGCACUAAUUUGCAGUCCCACCAGCAAU